rnacentral:lncRNA from 1 species
UUCUAGAUUUGAUUGUCAUUAUAGCUGUAAUCUUCCAACUCUCGCAAUACUGUUCAUGCGUUAUAUAACCAAUAUUCUGUAAUGCAAUUGGCCUUGAUAAUCCAAUAUUUAUUAUGCAGUCCUGGUGUUUUCAUCUUGCUGCUGACUCAAUGCUGCCCAAAUCCAAUAUUUAGAUCCUUAGCUCAUGCCUGAACUGUACCUUGUGAGUCCAGGCCCUCCAUUAUCGAUAUGUAGUGAUAUGACUUUCUGACUUCAGAAAAUGUAAACAAAGACAAGGCCAUAGUCAUCCUUUUUCUCUAUAAAUAUUCCAAAAAGCAGGAACAAUACUCUUAGCCAAGCUUGUCAAGAUGAAGACUUUUUUCUCUCCUUGGGUCUUUUUUGCUCCUGGUUUUUGUUCCAUGUCAUGAGAAAGUCCUGGCAACUAACACUCACCUUAAGGAAAAAAUACAGCUCCCUACCC